GAAAGCUCCAGUGGGAGAGGAGACCUUAAAAGCUCUCAUCUCUGUCUCCCUCUCACCCACCCACCCCCCACCACACACGCACAUAAAUUCAUAACUAUGUGAGUUGAUGAUGUUAACGUGACUUAUUGCAUGAUCAUUUCACCGUAUAUACGAGUAUCAAAUCAUGAGGUCAUACACCUGAGACUAAUAUAAUGAUACAUGUCACUUGUAUCUCAAUAAAAAUACAUCUCUGCACACACACACACACACACACACACACACACACACACACACAAGCUCAGUGAGUUCUCACUCAUUCUUACCCCCUCUUCAGCCUGCCAUCUGACACUUGACAGGCAAGAUCAUCCUCAUCCAUUCAUCCUAUAACCACCUCCCACCUGCUUCAGCCGAGAUGGACUUCUCACUGUGCUCACAAUCCAUUAAGCUGGCUGGGAUACCACCUGCCCGUCUGCCUCCUCUCAGCAACUCCUGGAUUCAACAUUUCCAACUUUCUGCUGAAUAUGUGAACAAUUGCUAGUUGGCAAGUUUUGAAACGAGUGCUGCAAUUCAAGCAUUAGAGGAAAAUACCUGGGGAGCUUUUUGAAAUUAC
ensembl:lncRNA